rnacentral:lncRNA from 1 species
AGCACUUCAGUGUUUUGGAGCUCUCAGCAUCUCAAAUGUCCAAUGGGAUCAAUUCGAAGUUUUCUAUUUUUAAAGGAAAAAACAACAACGACGACAAGAAGAAACAACAAAGCUUGUUAUGAACAACAAAAUAUCACAUGGAUGACUUUCACAGGGAUCUUGGAUUCCCAGCCUCAGAGUCUAUCAGGAAAGCUUUUGACAGGGUUUCAGAAUAUACUGUGCUUAGUAAAAUGAAUUUAAUCUAUCCAUCCAGUAAAUUACAUAACCUCUUUUGUUCCAAGUGCAGUUUACUUACAGAGACUUGCUACACCCUCCAGUCUCCUCUCACUGAAUCCGGUCAAACCCUCCUCUACUGUUUAAAAGGCUGCUAGUCCAUCAACAAAGAUUAUUGAACAUCCAGGGGCACAUUCUCAUGCCAGCAAAGAAUGCAUCUUCAGCGUUGUGGGUUGAAAUUGUGGCCCCUCAAAUGAUACUCCUGUGUCUUAAUCCCUUGAACCUGUGACUGUGACCUUAUUUGGACAAAUAAGAUCCAAAUUGAAUUAAGCUAAGGAGAUUGAAUUAAGCUAAGGAGCUCAGAAAUCAUCCUGGACUUAACGUGGGCUCUAAAUCCAGUGGCAGAUGUCCUUAUAAGAAAAAGGCAGAGGGAGAGUUCAGACACUGAGACACACAGGUCAGACAGCCAUGUAGACAUGGAGGCAGAGAUUAGGAUUAUGCAGCCUUCAGCCAAGGAAUGUCUGGAAUUACUGGGAACUGAAAGAGACAAGGAAGGAUUCUCCCUUGAAGGACUUCAGGGAGAAGAAUGUGGUGCAGAAACACCUUGAAUUCACACUUUGGUCUCCAAAACUGUGAGAAAAGAAAUUUCUGUUGUUUUUAAGCCACAGAUUUGUUACAUCAGCUCUAGGGAAGGAAAGCCAUCAGGUACCAAGUUCAACACCUCAUGCUUGGAGACAUGUCUGAGAUUUGACUCUCCUGGGUUUAUUGGAAUCUUUUUUGUUUUGAAAAUCAACUCUCCGACUCCAACCAUCAUCACCCUACCAUGCCCUGCCA